ACCAUAUGUUUCUGAUUCAUUGGCAGCUAACUCAUUCUGUCCUGUGGGCUAUGCGGGAAACACUCCAGGCCCUACCUUCACUUUAAAGGGCCAGUGAAAUUCACAACAAUGCAUGGCGUGGGGUGAGAGCUCAGUGAAAACGUCCAUUGCCACUAUUAUUCCCUUUUGACUGGCACCAGGAGGCAAAGUAAUCCAGUGGGAAGAGCUCCAAACCAGUAGAAGAUGUGGAAGCAGAAACUCAGGCUCACUACUUUGCUUGAGGUUAUUGCUAGAAGGGAAUGAAGUUGAGAUUUCAGCCCAGUGUUUAACAUGCACACAAACCACCUGGAGAUCCUGCUGGGAUGAGGCCAAGGUUCUGCAUUUCUAAUAAGCUCCCAGGAGAUGCAGGUGCUGCUGGCCCUUAUUCAACACUUGAGUAACAAGACGCUGCUCUGCUGCCAGGAUAAUCUUCCUAAUGCAUACCUCUGAUCAUGUCCCUUGAAUGGAUUUGAACAGAUCUCUCACCCAGAGAAAGAACACAUGGAAAGAUGCUCAACAGCACUCGUCAUUAGGGAAAUGCAGGUUAAAACCACAGUGAGAUUACACUACACACCUAUUACAACGGCUAAAAAUAAAAAUUACAAUACCAAGUGCUGGUGAGAAUGCAGAAUAACUAGAACUUCCAUACUGCUGGGGAGAAGGCAGAAUC
ensembl:lncRNA